GACGAACGCUGGCGGCGUGCUUAACACAUGCAAGUCGAACGGAAAGGCCCUGCUUUUGUGGGGUGCUCGAGUGGCGAACGGGUGAGUAACACGUGAGUAACCUGCCCUUGACUGUGGGAUAACUUCAGGAAACUGGGGCUAAUACCGGAUAGGAGCUCCUGCUGCAUGGUGGGGGUUGGAAAGUUUCGGCGGUUGGGGAUGGACUCGCGGCUUAUCAGCUUGUUGGUGGGGUAGUGGCUUACCAAGGCUUUGACGGGUAGCCGGCCUGGGAGGGUGACCGGCCACAUUGGGACUGAGAUACGGCCCAGACUCCUACGGGGGGCAGCAGUGGGGAAUAUUGCACAGUGGGCGGAAGCCUGAUGCAGCAACGCCGCGUGCGGGAUGACGGCCUUCGGGUUGUAAACCGCUUUCGCCUGUGACGAAGCGUGAGUGACGGUAAUGGGUAAAGAAGCACCGGCUAACUACGUG
rnacentral:rRNA from 1 species